rnacentral:rRNA from 1 species
UACGGAGGGGGCUAGCGUUGUUCGGAAUUACUGGGCGUAAAGCGUACGUAGGCGGCUUUGUAAGUUAGAGGUGAAAGCCCGGGGCUCAACCCCGGAAUUGCCUUUAAGACUGCAUCGCUUGAAUCGCGGAGAGGUGAGUGGAAUUCCGAGUGUAGAGGUGAAAUUCGUAGAUAUUCGGAAGAACACCAGUGGCGAAGGCGGCUCAUCUGGACCGGUAUUGACGCUGAGGUGCGAAAGCGUGGGGAGCAAACAGG